rnacentral:rRNA from 1 species
GGCUGAAAUUGCCUUCAUGAAGCCGGAAUUGCUAGUAAUGGCAGGUCAGCAUACUGCCGUGAAUACGUUCCCGGGCCUUGUACACACCGCCCGUCACACCAUGAGAGUUGGGAAUACCCGAAGCCUGUGAGCUAACUUUUAGAGGCAGCAGUCGAAGGUAGAAUCAAUGAUUGGGGUGAAGUCGUAACAAGGUACC